GGCGGACGUAGCCAAGUGGUUCCAAGGCAGUGGAUUGUGA
rnacentral:tRNA from 1 species